GAUGCACCUUAUACACACACACACACACACACACACACACACACACACACACACACACACACAUAUAUAUAUAUAUUUAUAUAUUAUUAAACUAUAAAAGUGCCACUUUGUCCCACUAUUAUGUGCAGGCCUGGCAUUUUGCACUGAGCUAUAGAACUACAAAAUGAAUUUUAAAUUAGCAAUAUCAUAAUUGAAUGACAUUUUGAAUUAUGUAGUGAUCUAAUUCUAUCCACCAAGCAAUUGUAUGUGAAUGUGUGAGACUUAUGGUCAUGGUUAUAGGCAAAUAACAAGAAGAACAAAGUGCAGUAAACGGUAAAACUGUUUGCACUACAAACCAGUACGUUCAUAAUUAACACAAUACAUUAAAAAUAACAUGGUAAGAUACAGCAGUUUGCAACAGUAAACAGGAAAACAAGCUGUUUGUACAGCUAAUAUAGCUGGAAUGACACCGAAAGCCAGACACAUUACAUUUACAAAUGGCCGCGCCCCCUCUUACAGAAAAAAAAUAAGGGGCGUAUGUUUAUUCAUAUGUUUAUUAAUGUAACGUAAGCGUGUGACUUUUAAUUCGUGACGUGCUUUCAUGGGCGUGCGCGCGGACCGGAUGGAGUUGCCAUGGAAACGGAGCGCAACACUGCAAAUGUCACGAGGAAACACCCCGUUUCUCGCUGAUUUCACUGUUUUCAGGAAUGGUUUAAUGUCUUCGAAAAAGUCCGUUAGCAUUUCUACCGUUUUCAGACGACGUAUCGUCAGGUAUGAUAACUCUAUUGUGCUCUUAUUUAUGAAAGUUUGGGCUUUUAAUCAAUUCUUCAUCUGUAGAUGAUAGCUUUUGACUGUUUUGUUGGUAAUCUUUCAAUGGAUGAUUGGAAAUUGCUUAAUUUAUUUAACCUUAACAUUUACACUUUACUGUUUAUCGAUGACGUCACGUUAUCAAGGAGCGCGAAAAUUGGCAGAAAACUAAAGUUGUUUUGAUCUUUUAUGGUAAACAUAAAACUGUUAUGCGAUUUCAAGAAUAAUAAAAUAAUCCUUCUACAACAGAAGGGAGUGUCCCAAGAUUUCAAUAUUUCUGAAGGGAGCUGCUGACAGAGAUGUAGGAAGCGCUGAAAAGAUUCUUCAGUGCUGAUGGCCUGCUGCAUCCAGCAGAGUCGGAGUGAACCUACUGUAAGACAACAUCUCCAAGAUGCUAUUGACCACAAGACUAGUACAGGUUAUUAGAAACUGCACAGCACAGGACUUGCAGGACUUGUGAGGAUUCAGAUGAUACCAGUACUCAAAAGACCUUAGAUGAUGGCAACUAUAGAUGGACAUACAAACUACCGCCACUGCAAAAAAGAUUCUAAUUUGAAAGAAGUUUAUAAUGCAUGUUCGCUACUCCCAAUUCAGAAGACUGAAUCAGCCUGUGUAUCUGAAUGUUUCUCAUACUCACUCCUCUCUGCCGCGUCUGAAUUUGGGAUUUUCCUUAGCUGUCAGUUAUAAACGUCAAAAUUAAAAGAAAUAAACAUUUGAAAUAUAUCAGUCUGUGUGUAAUGAAUAAAUAUAAUAUACAAGUUUCACUUUUUGAAUGGAAUUAGUGAAAUAAAUCAACUUUUUGAUGAUAUUCUAAUUAUUUGACCAGUACCUGUAUAUCAUUGCUCUUUUGUUGAUUUUGAUUGCUUCCAUUGUCCUCAUUUGUAAGUUGCUUUGGAUAAAAGUG